UUAGGGACUAAUUUUAUUAACUCUCCAAAUCUGAAAUUAGAGGUGCAUUAUAGAAGGCGGAAAGAAUGGGACAGCUUUAGAUUUGAUUGGGCUAAUCCGGUCUCUCCUUCCAUAGCCUGAUCCUGAGGCUCUGAGACCCCAGCGAAGCAGAUUCCAGAUUCUGCUACCCUAUCAUGGCGUACGCUCAAAACUUUUUGGUAGCUGUUUUCAUCUCCUUCACCUUCGUCUCCACCUCAUUCUCUCAGUCUAUUCUCGGAAUCACCCCCGAAAUCUUAGAACUUUUAACCAUCAAUCGCCACCGUAAGAUUCCCAAAGACAAUAACAAUGCUUUGUUCUGUGAGAGCUGGCGGUUUACAGUGGAGACUAAUGACGCUGGUUUCUGGGCUUUGAUUCCCGAAAGGUGCGCUUCUUUCGUCCAGGACUACAUGAACGGCGAUCGUUACUCUUCAGAUUGCGGUGCGGUGGCUGACCUGUCGCUGGCAUUUGCCAAUACGGUUAAGGUUUCAAACGAUGGAAAGGACGCUUGGGUCUUCGACAUUGAUGAAACUUUGCUCUCCAACUUGCCCUACUAUGUCACCCAUGGCUUCGG